rnacentral:rRNA from 1 species
GGCGACAGUGCCUGGAGAUAGGGCGUGCUGUUGUACGAGUAGAGACUCGUAGCAGAUAGCUCAGUAACACGUGGCCAAACUACCCUAUGGAUCCAGACAACCUCGGGAAACUGAGGCUAAUCUGGAAUAGGGCUCUCAUCCUGGAGUGGAGAGAGCCUGAAAUGCUCCGGCGCCAUAGGAUGUGGCUGCGGCCGAUUAGGUAGACGGUGGGGUAACGGCCCACCGUGCCAGUAAUCGGUACGGGUUGUGAGAGCAAGAGCCCGGAGACGGUAUCUGAGACAAGAUACCGGGCCCUACGGGGCGCAGCAGGCGCGAAACCUUUACACUGCACGCCAGUGCGAUAAGGGGACUCCAAGUGCGAGGGCAUAUAGUCCUCGCUUUUUGCGACCGUAAGGUGGUCGCGGAAUAAGUGCUGGGCAAGACCGGUGCCAGCCGCCGCGGUAAUACCGGCAGCACGAGUGAUGACCGCUGUUAUUGGGCCUAAAGCGUCCGUAGCUGGCCGCGCAAGUCUAUCGGGAAAUCUCUCCGCUUAACGGAGAGGCGUCCGGUGGAAACUGUGUGGCUUGGGACCGGAAGACCAGAGGGGUACGUCUGGGGUAGGAGUGAAAUCCCGUAAUCCUGGACGGACCACCGGUGGCGAAAGCGCCUCUGGAAGACGGAUCCGACGGUGAGGGACGAAAGCUCGGGUCACGAACCGGAUUAGAUACCCGGGGUAGUCCGAGCUGUAAACGAUGUCUGCUAGGUGUGACACAGGUCUACGAGCCUGUGUUGUGCCCGUAGGAAGCCGUGAAGCAGACCGCCUGGAAGUACGUCCGCCAGGAUGAAACUUAAAGGAAUUGGCGGGGGAGCACUACAACCGGAGAGCCUGCGGUUUAAUUGGACUCAACGCCGGACUAUCUCACCACCAUCGACAUGUGCAGUGACGGUCAGUGUGAUGAGCUUACCUGAGCCAUUGAGAAGGAGGUGGCAUGGCCGCCGUCAGCU